rnacentral:rRNA from 1 species
CCUACGGGAGGCAGCAGUGGGGAAUAUUGCACAAUGGGGGAAACCCUGAUGCAGCAACGCCGCGUGAGUGAAGAAGUAUUUCGGUAUGUAAAGCUCUAUCAGCAGGGAAGAAAAUGACAGUACCUGACUAAGAAGCCCCGGCUAAAUACGUGCCAGCAGCCGCGGUCAUACGUAGGGUGCAAGCGUUAUCCGGAUUUACUGGGUGUAAAGGGAGCGUAGGCGGCCGCGCAAGGCCGAAGGGAAAGCCCGGGGCUCAACGCCGGGACUGCUUUUGAAACUGUGGAGCUGGAGUGCAGGAGAGGUAAGUGGAAUUCCUAGUGUAGCGGUGAAAUGCGUAGAUAUUAGGAGGAACACCGGUGGCGAAGGCGGCUUACUGGACUGUAACUGACGUUGAGGCUCGAAAGCGUGGGGAGCAAACAGGAUUAGAUACCCGAGUAGUC